AUCGCCAAUUAUGAGAAAUUCAUUUUCAGCUACACUUCUAAUACUAUGACGUCUUUUGUUCUCGAACUUUCCACUUGUCCAUUUAUAUGUAGUAUUUAUGCCUACUGAGUCUGCAAUUGUGAUAAUUUACGUGACGUGAAACGCUCGUCUUGCAGGGAGCGCGUAUUUGUAUCCCUCCGCAAAUGGCGCACUUCCUUGUUCGCAUCGAACAUUUUUUGGUAUUUUUAUUUGAGCUGCAAUUUUCUUAAUAAGUAAGGUCCACGUAUUCAUUUCUACGCGUUAAUAGUGAUUGUGGUUUUAUUGCUUCACAGGACGCCUCAUUAUCGUUUUUUGAAACAAGUGGAGGAGAACCAUUUCCAAGGGAACUGAAAGCAGUGCAUUUCCUUACUAACUGGACCUGUUGAAGGCGUGAACAACUUGGUGAGAAAAUGUGUAAAAGCUCAUUAAAAGAGUGAAAGUGCUUGCGAAAAUUACUAAACAUUGAGGAAGUGAAAUUUUCUGUCUAAACAGGAAUGCACAGUGUAAUUUGACUUUUUGCAACCCAUUGGAGGAGAACCAUUUCCAAGGGAACUGAAAGCAGUGCAUUUCCUUACUAACUGGACCUGUUGAAGGCGUGAACAACUUGGUGAGAAAAUGUGUAAAAGCUCAUUAAAAGAGUGAAAGUGCUUGCGAAAAUUACUAAACAUUGAGGAAGUGAAAUUUUCUGUCUAAACAGGAAUGCACAGUGUAAUUUGACUUUUUGCAACCCAUGAGCCAGUUGCGACAACAACCGAUACAUUUAAGGUGAAAUCCAUGAAGGGAACAGAGACUUACAUGUUUGUUCAUCCGUGACAUGAAAUGCCAAGAAGUGCUGUCAAAGACGUUUUUCAUAAUCAGACCAGUCUUCCGCCGUCUCAUCGUAAGGAGGAAAAGGAGGUAUAGACAACAACGAGAAACGGCCCGCAUUUGAUGCCGCGAUGAAAUCACGAAUUGCCGAUGUGAGAAGUGUUUGCUGUUCAAUGACACCUUGCAAUAGUUGCUCUAAAGUAGCCAUGGAAACCUGUGGGUCAACAAUAAAAAGGAAAAAUCCACUACCUUGUCGCCGAUUGUUAUAACGUCAAGUGAAACACAUGUAUGUCAAAACGUCAAAACACAUGUAAGUCACAGAGCAAGUUGACCAAGCAAAACAUGUGAGCAUGGUAACAUUUGAAUGAGCUCUGAGUCCAAGUCUAGCGGCCGCUGGCUGGCUGGCCGCUUGGGUGGCGUGGCUGCUGCAUGGCUGGCAGACAGCGCCGCACGUAGAGGACGUGCGUAAUUGUGCGGCGGCGCUUUGAAUGAUCGGCGAGUCACAACAUUAUCUGACAUGAAACUUUUGAUACGAAUGUUGGACCAUGCAAUAUCAUUGUUUGCACACAGGUUUUUGUUAAUACCACUUCCUUAAACUGCUGAAAUUUUUUGAUCUAUAACUGUUACAUUAGGUUGCAUAUUGUUUUCUACACUUAAUUUUUUUUGUUUUAAACUGGUGGAAAUUUGUCGGGUAGUAGCUCUCAACUCACACAAUUUUUUCCACUAUGGCUUCUGUUCAACUCUGAUGUC